AUCAAAAAGUUUCGGCCUGUGUUCCCUUUUGUUAUGGACUUAGUGCACUUAAUGCUAGCAUCCAUCCAAAAUUAUAGGCUGGAUCCCUAACAUCCUACCCCUCCCACCCCCAUGAUGGUCAGAAGAGCCUGCUGGAAGUAAUUAGGGUUUGCUUAGAUGAUAAUGGAGUGGUCAUGAUAUGAUUUGUGAUCCUGUGAGGACUCAGGUAGAAGGUGACGGCACACAAGCCAGGAAAGCCGAAGCCCACUAGAUCCCUGCUGGAUCUUGGUGUUGGUGUUGGACUUCCCAGACUCCAGAGUUCUGAGAACAUAAACUGCUUUAUUAACUCAUGCACUCUAUUAUGUCAUGCCUUUGUUGGAGCAUGUGACAUUUAGCCACCUAUUUCUGUGUAUGCCAUUAAGUGUGUCCAUGAAAUGGAGGGCAUGGUUUCAUAUCCCCAGGGCUCUCUGUGCCCUGUCCAUUGGGAGCUGUCAUGAAGGAUGCUAGACUAGAGUCCAAGCAUGAGUUGUCAUUAAAGUCUUUCACUGAGAAUUGAAUGGAUUAUUACUUUAUUAUAGACAUAAUGCAUGUUCAAGAUAAAACAAAAAUAAAAAAGAAGAAAGAAGGAAAGAAAGAGAGAAAGAAAGAAAGAAGGAAAGAAAGAAAGGAAGAAAGAAAGAGGAACUUCAGCAAAGAUUUGCCCAAGGUCAACCUGGCCUGGAUCAACACCCUGGCUCUCCCAAUGCUCUGGGGUUAAAUGAACCCCAUUAAAGUCCUCUCUCAAAGAAGAAAA